AAGAAACAGAAGCCCGCUGCAAAUAAAAUAAUAAACGGUGCAGAUAAAAAAAUAAUAAUAAAAAAAGCUUUUGUUUUGACUUUUUUUUUAUCUGCACUGUUUCUUGUUUUAUUUGCAGUGGGCUUCUGUUUCUU